rnacentral:rRNA from 1 species
GAUGAACGCUGGCGGCGUGCCUAAUACAUGCAAGUCGAGCGAAUGGAUUGAGAGCUUGCUCUUAUGAAGUUAGCGGCGGACGGGUGAGUAACACGUGGGUAACCUGCCCAUAAGACUGGGAUAACUCCGGGAAACCGGGGCUAAUACCGGAUAACAUUUUGAACCGCAUGGUUCGAAAUUGAAAGGCGGCUUCGGCUGUCACUUAUGGAUGGACCCGCGUCGCAUUAGCUAGUUGGUGAGGUAACGGCUCACCAAGGCAACGAUGCGUAGCCGACCUGAGAGGGUGAUCGGCCACACUGGGACUGGGACACGGCUCAGACUCCUACGGGAGGCAGCAGUAGGGAAUCUUCCGCAAUGGACGAAAGUCUGACGGAGCAACGCCGCGUGAGUGAUGAAGGCUUUCGGGUCGUAAAACUCUGUUGUUAGGGAAGAACAAGUGCUAGUUGAAUAAGCUGGCACCUUGACGGUACCUAACCAGAAAGCCACGGCUAACUACGUGCCAGCCGCCGCGGUAA